rnacentral:rRNA from 1 species
ACAUGUUUACAACAUAGUGUUAAUGCAUUGGAUCCCAUUAGAACUUCGCAUUUAAGAGUGCUAGGGAUAGAGUAGUACUGGGAUGGGUGACUACCUGGGAAGUCCUAGUAUUUUACAUGCC